rnacentral:rRNA from 1 species
UACAGAGGUCUCAAGCGUUGUUCGGAUUCAUUGGGCGUAAAGGGUGCGUAGGCGGCGCGGUAAGUCGGGUGUGAAAUCUUGGAGCUUAACUCCGAAACUGCAUUCGAUACUGCCGUGCUUGAGGACUGGAGAGGAGACUGGAAUUUACGGUGUAGCGGUGAAAUGCGUAGAUAUGGGGAGGAACACCGGUGGCGAAGGCGGCCACCUGGACGGUAACUGACGCUGAGACGCGAAAGCGUGGGGAGCAAACAGG